ACACUCCUACGGGAGGCAGCAGUGGGGAAUUUUGGACAAUGGGCGAAAGCCUGAUCCAGCAAUGCCGCGUGAGUGAAGAAGGCCUUCGGGUUGUAAAGCUCUUUUGUCAGGGAAGAAACGGUGAAAGCUAAUAUCUUUUGCUAAUGACGGUACCUGAAGAAUAAGCACCGGCUAACUACGUGCCAGCAGCCGCGGUAAUACGUAGGGUGCAAGCGUUAAUCGGAAUUACUGGGCGUAAAGCGUGCGCAGGCGGUUUUGUAAGUCUGAUGUGAAAUCCCCGGGCUCAACCUGGGAAUUGCAUUGGAGACUGCAAGGCUAGAAUCUGGCAGAGGGGGGUAGAAUUCCACGUGUAGCAGUGAAAUGCGUAGAUAUGUGGAGGAACACCGAUGGCGAAGGCAGCCCCCUGGGUCAAGAUUGACGCUCAUGCACGAAAGCGUGGGGAGCAAACAGGAUUAGAAACCCGUGUAGUCCCA
rnacentral:rRNA from 1 species